rnacentral:rRNA from 1 species
CGAGGAAGGUGUGGAUGACGUCAAAUCAGCACGGCCCUUACAUCCAGGGCUACACACGUGUUACAAUGGCCGGUACAGAGGGCUGCUACCCCGCGAGGGAUGCGAAUCCUAUAAAACCGGUCUCAGUUCGGAUUGGAGUCUGCAACCCGACUCCAUGAAGCUGGAUUCGCUAGUAAUCGCGCAUCAGCCAUGGCGCGGUGAAUACGUUCCCGGACCUU